CAGUCUGGGAAGUGAGGAGCGCCUCUUCCUGGCCGCCAUCCCAUCUAGGAAGUGAGGAGCGUCUCUGGCCGGCUGCCCAUCGCCUGAGAUGUGAGGAGUGCCUCGGCCAGGCCGUGAACCUGUCUGGGAUCUGAGGAGUGUCUCUGCCUGACCGCCACCCCGUCUGGGAGAGACUGUUACAUUUAAAGAAUGCAUCAAAUAGCACAUACCCAGUGGCAGGAGAAAUCGAAGAUGAUUUGGAGGUUUCAAACCAGGGAGAUAUACGGCCACUCAGGAAAAGCAGGAAGAAAAUGUGGAGCUUGAGAUUUCAGCAGAGGCUGACCCAUCAAGUGGAAUCCUGUGGCCAAGAAGCAGCUCCGGCAGAAAGUCAGAGAGAGAGGAGAGUGAGGAUAAGGUACCAUUCCUCUGGUUCUGUUGUUGAAAACUCCGAUUCAUUUUUCAAGUACUUGCUGCAAUGUGACUUUAUGAAACGGUAGAGAGGAUGGAUUUAGGAAGGGAUAGAGAAAUCAAGGACAAUUAGGAAUAAAAGAACUAAAGAAGACAUUUUUGUAAUUGUACACAUUGAGAAGUAAUAAAUACCAUUAGGGAUACACAUUCUUUGAGGACCAGCCUCAGUGUUUUUAACUUUCUGUUCCCAAUGUCUAGCUCUGCUCUCCAGUAUAGAAAACAUACUCAACACAUAUUAUUUGAAUAAAAAAGAUGAACUAUAAGAUAAGCAAAGGUCAGGAGUCCAAGGUUUACCUUGUAUCCAUUGUCUUCCUUGCGGUUGUGAGAGGCAGUAAUCAUCACACCUGCAACUGCUUUGAGCUUCUGAACUGCAUAUGGCUGAAAAAUAAAUAACACCAUAAUUCCAUUUUGCUUCCUAGCUAUUUACACAUUUGACAUGAGAAUAAUUUUGAUUAAAUAACAGGAAAAGCAUUAUAGUAUGAUAUUGCUUUUGUUGAUACCCUCUUUAUUUUCUAUUUACUUGAUUUUUCCUCA